GCCCGCUUAGCUCAGUGGUAGAGCGCAUCACUAGUAAGAGAUCGUUAUGAUGAGGUCGCCAGUUCGAUUCUGGUAGCGGGCA